CUCUGUACCUGGCACAGGAGAUACCGUGAUCACUGAGGCGGUUCCCCAGGGCGAGGCCUGCACCAUGCACUCGCGGUGGCGCUGACCCCUGCGAUUAACCCCAAAUGUGCGUUAACUGAGUGCGCAAUUUUUGUUAUUGCGGGGACGCGUUCGCGCUAUCCCCCU